rnacentral:sRNA from 1 species
AUCUAAAUCAACCAAACCUGUAUUAUUAAAUCGGAUUCAAAAUUCUGACCCGUAAUUGAUUCACUAACCUAUAAAUUGAAUCUUUUUUUAAUUUCUUCUUCUUCUUCUUCCUCGCGACGCGUUAAUGGCGGCUUCGUUCUCACUCACGAUCACGAGCUUCAUCUCCUUCAUUUAAACAUUCAAAUCUCAAACCAAACCUACACCACCACCAAAUAUCACUCUUCCUUCUCCAACAAUCUCCCAAAGGCGAAGAAAUGAUCUCGCUAUCGAAUCAAUGGCGGUCGAAGAAUCUUCUUCAACCGCUUUUUCACUUUCCUCUGAGCUUGCUUCCGUGAUUUUCCCCUCGCUUGCUUACUCCAACACACUCUCUUCAGUUCUGGAUACAAUGUGCAAGUGUUUGUUGAAGAUAAUGAGUCAGAGGAGAGGCUUGUGAAUCGAUUUAGGAGAGAAGUGAUGAGAACUGGUGUUAUACAGGAAUGUAAGCGAAGGAGAUACUUUGAGAAUCAAAAAGAUGAGAAGAAACGUCGAGGACCAUUUAUCAUCUUGAAGGAUCCGCAAAAUUUUAUUUCGGGUCGGGUUUAGUCGCGGUUCGGGUCGGCUGUGAUGAUGACCGGAAUUGUCUAUUUUACCUUUACUUUUUUUUUGUUUGAUUUUUUGUUAUAAUGUGUUUUUAAAAAAUGGCUCAAACGGCUUGUAAUUUGGAUGUCCCUGAUUCUCUCUUAAUAGUAUAGAUUUUAGAAAUUUUUUGUUUUAUUUUAAUUAUAUUUUACUGGUUAAAUCAACUAUAAUUAAUAAAUUUUUUUUUAGGAAAAUAAGAUUUUUAUAGUUUUUUAAUUUGUAUACAAAAAUCUUUACAUUACUUAUAACGAAAGAGAAAGAGUAUUAUUUUUACAUAUUAAAUAAGAAAAGUCAUGAUUAUUUAUUUAAAGGAUUUUCUGUAAAAGAAAAACCUCGAAAUCGAUCUCGUUUGCGAAUCUACCCUCCAUGUCCCAACUAUGCAAGUCAACCACAUCAACUCUAAAGUCAUCCACUAAACAGUCCUUAGUCAUAUCGAUGAUGUGGCAUCGCUAACGCGGCGUUUUGGAAUGUCUCUGACAUCCAAAAAUCUUGACAUUUUUUGGUGUUAAUUUAGAAAGUGGAAAACAAAAAUUGGGUAUUUAUUUUGAAAUUAGGGUUCGUGGGUUUACCUUGAGCAUUCUUAUUUAUCGACAAUCUUCUCUUUUUCUUCUGAAUUGGCGAAUCUGGUAUGUUUAAAAUCGAUAUCUUGUUUAAAAUUGAAGUUCUUGUCAUUUUAUUUGUCGAAUUUAUAUUUGAUUUGAACUGUAAAAUUUGGAGGUGAUCUUGUUCACUCUUUGAUGACAGUAACGAUGUUUGAAAGUAGCUCUUCCACAAGUCAACAGAGAAGGGGUCCAUCAAUGUCGCAAAAUGGCAUUACUAGGCGAUGUUUCUGUGGUGGAUUAGCAAUUAUCCAAACCUCUCGGACUGCCACAAACCGGGGAAGAAUAUUCUACACUUGUGUAAUGAGUGGUGUAAGUCAAUUUAAGUGUUUUUAAAAUUUGCUAAUGAAUUAGUAACUUCCAUCUUUCUUAAAUUAUAUCUUAUGUGUGAACAUUUGACAAUUUUAGGAUGGAGAAAAUCAUAUUUAGAAAUUGUGUGAUGAAGUAAUGAUGGAGGAAAUCGUUCAGCUAGGAUUGGAAAUGCAAGACCUAAACAACUUGAUUCACUGCAUUCCGGACUCUACGACUGGUUAUGUUGGUGGUUAUGAUCCUAGGAUCUCUCAAAAUUGUCUGAAACAAUUAAGAUCCAAAAGGACAAGAUUGCUCAGACAGAUGAAGAGAUUGUUAGGCUGAAAAAGUUAAUUGAGAAGAUAGAUGUAGGAAAUGCAAUGGAGUUGAAGAAUGUGGUAAUUGGCGGUUUGGUUGUGUUUGCAAUACUUGUCUACUUGUUUAAAUAGAUAAGAGAACACUAAGUUGAAGUUAUGUCUUUGAAAGACUAUGUUAUAAUGACUUAAGUAUUCUAGAUGCAAUGUCUUUAGUUUGGUUAUGGUAUUGUAAUAUGAUGUCUUUAGUUUGGUUAUGAUAUUGUAAUAUGAAGUCUUUAGUUUGGUUAUGAUAUUGUAGUAUGGUAUGUUUUCUAGAUGCAAUGUUUUUAUGUGCUCAGUUUGUAGUGUCAAAAAGACACACAUUCAUGUUCUUAAUAGACCAAAAAACUAGAAAACAAUUCCGAUUAAAAUUCUCAAUUCUGAGACAAAACCAACCAAACAUCAAGUUUGAGACACAAAAACAACCAAAUAAAGUAAACUAAACAACCAAGUUUGAGACAAAGCAAACCAAACAUCAUUCCAAACCUUCCAAACACAUCUGAUAAACUAAUCAAGUCUAAAAAUACAAAAGACAACGCCACAUAAUCAUUUCUUCUUGCCACGACCACUACCACGUCCAACAGCAAGUUUCUUGCAUUCUCGUACUGGGAAGGAUUGUGUUAUUUCGUGAGUCAACAAUAGACCUACCAAGAUGGAUAUAGUCAUCACCAAUUACAGGACUGGUGAAGACACUGUAACCUUCCUAUAAAAAUUCACAUAUAAGAGAUUUGAGUCAUAAAAGAAAUUCUAAGCUAAACAUAAACGCUAUUUAACGAUACUAUAGCGGUUUAAUAAGCGCUCUAUCAUCGUCCGUCAUAAUAGGUCAAAGACAUAAUAUACCGGUUUUUGUUUGUGUUAUCAUACUGUUAAUUAUUAUAGCGCUUUCUUCGCCGCACCAGAUCUAAUAAUUUUUUGAAUACUAUUUCCAGAACCUAAACCACCGAUAUCUUGUCCAACUAGCAACUACAAAAUCAUUCUUUGAUCAUCUCAAAUCUCGAUAUAGUCAAAACACAAAAACAAAAAAUGAUUUAAAGUUAAAACAAAAUAAAAAAACAAAGCUCUGAACUUUAUAUUCAGUGAGGAAUAAAAGCAAACACUCGGUGGAUGUAUUUUGAUUAAU